CAUUUAUAUUUAUUUCUUUUGCGUUCAUUUUCAAAUUCGCCGUGCAUAUAUUUUUGUGCAUGGCGCUUGAGAGGGCAUCACGUGACUAAAAACGACCAACCAACGACCUCGCUUCGGCCAUCUUGGCAUCUUCAUCUUGGCCACCUUGCUUUGCCGUGGGUGGGUGGAUCGUUGUUAUUUGUGCUUUUUAAGAAUAUUUUUUUAAUUCGGAUACUUUUAUAAUAGCUUUAAUAGUAUUAUUAACAUAGUGAAUAAAAUGGUGUCCUGUUUUUAACGCAGUUGGAGUAGCAGAAACAAAUAAUGUAGAUAAAAAAAUCUGCAGGAAUAACGUUUCAAUUAUGACAGAAGCUCCAAACAAAUGACUGUGAAUGAAAAGCCCUAUUAAAAGCUUUCCAGAAGAUCCUGCGAAGAAGACAUGAAGUAUAGAUCAGAUUUGUUAAUAGAGGAGUAUGUUCAAAACACUUUUUAGAAAAAGAUAUUGACAGAACUUCACUUUCAUCUGUUCGUUUAAGAGACUGUGCUGUUCCAAUAGCUUAUGUCACACAGAAUCAGCUGAGAGAAGUGGUCUACAAAAAACCAGAAAGGAAACGGAAUAUGUGGCUACGAAAAGCAAAAGAAAGGUUUACAAAGCAAAUGUGACACAUUUUUUUAUAAUAUUUAGGAAUGUCAGUAAAUUACAUUAAAAAA
rnacentral:lncRNA from 1 species